rnacentral:rRNA from 1 species
AGUGAACGCUGGCGGUAGGCCUAACACAUGCAAGUCGAACGGCAGCACGGGAGAGCUUGCUCUCUGGGUGGCGAGUGGCGGACGGGUGAGGAAUACAUCGGAAUCUACCUUUUCGUGGGGGAUAACGUAGGGAAACUUACGCUAAUACCGCAUACGACCUACGGGUGAAAGUGGGGGACCGCAAGGCCUCACGCGAUUAGAUGAGCCGAUGUCCGAUUAGCUAGUUGGCGGGGUAAUGGCCCACCAAGGCGACGAUCGGUAGCUGGUCUGAGAGGAUGAUCAGCCACACUGGAACUGAGACACGGUGCAGACUCCUACGGGAGGCAGCAGUGGGGAAUAUUGGACAAUGGGCGCAAGCCUGAUCCAGUCAUACCGCGUGGGUGAAGAAGGCCUUCGGGUUGUAAAGCCCUUUUGUUGGGAAAGAAAAGCAAUCGGUUAAUACCCGGUUGUUCUGACGGUACCCAAAGAAUAAGCACCGGCUAACUUCGUGCCAGCAGCCGCGGUAAUAC